GCCGGGCGUGGUGGCGCAUGCCUGUAAUCCUAGCUACUCGGGAGGCUGAGGCAGGAGAAUCGCUUGAACCUAGGAGGUGGAGGUUGCAGUGAGCUGACAUUGCACCACUGCACUCCAGCCUGGGCAACAGAGUGAAACUCUGUCUCAA
rnacentral:SRP_RNA from 2 species